GUAAAGACCGUACUAAUAACUGGAGGUCAAGUCUGGUGCCAGCAUCCGCGGUAAUUCCAGCUCCAGGGGUGUCUAUGAUGAUUGCUGCGAUUAAAAAGUCCGUAGUCGAGCUGACUGACUGACCUGCAAUGUGGUUGAUUAAAAGACGAGCAGGGUUAGGAAAGCAGAGAAUUAGGAGCGACCGAGGGCUAGAGUAUUGAAUGGCGAGAGGUGAAAUUUGAUGACCCAUUCAGGAGUGACAAAGGCGAAGGCACUAGUCAAGGGCGAAUCCGAUGAUCAAGGACGUAGGCUAGAGUUUCGAAAACGAUUAGAGACCGGAGUAGUUCUAGCAGUAAACUAUGCCGACACCGUGGUAUUAAUUUUUUAGUAUUGCGGAAGAGAAAUCAAGUAAGGCUUUGGGGAGAGUACGCGCGCAAGCGAUAAAUUUAAAGGAAAUUGACGGAGGAACACCACAAGGAGUGGAGUGUGCGGCUUAA
rnacentral:rRNA from 1 species